AGGGUUUUCAAAUUCUGACACAACGUGCUCCUGCCAGUAGUGAAGGACCUCGACCUGGCGUUGGCACACAGAGCGGGUGCCACGCCAGCUGGGAAGGCUGGAGGCUGCAGGAGGACCCCACUAUACAGCCCACACCCCAGGCUUUUUCUGAAAGCCUCAAGCUUCUGGUUUUGCCUUUUGCUGUCAAUAUCAGCAGAUGUGUGUGGCACCACCACUGAUUUAAUAUGCAGACACACACACAGACUAAAUUAUCUUAUCCUGGAGAUGCUGGAGAUGCUCCUGGGAGGAGGAGAGGCAUCUAGCACUUAGAGUUCCAACAGCACAAAUGGUUGCUGUCAAGAAGAAUGAGUGUCCCUGAAAGAGUGGCCAUUGGGUUCACGGGUGGAUCAACCCAUGCUAUUGCAAAAAACAUGCUCGUGUGUAGAAACAGGUAGACCUCUGUUGGUACAUGGCGCUACAGUAGACUAAUACAACCAUGCUGAUCGAAAGGCAGCCUUUGGAAAACCUCGUCUUGUGAUGGCUAGCUGCCCUGAACAGCCUGGGGUACAAAUGCCUAGAUAUAAGGGAGAAAGAGAAUAUUUCCUCCCUCAACAUUUUAAACUCUUCAUGUUCAAUGAUCAGACUUGGGAGGAGUUAUAGAAAGUUUAACCACUAUAUGAAAGAGUUGGUCAUAAAUAUAAAUCAGCUUAUAUUAAGGCAAUUUGAAAUGUACUACCUGAAUAAUUUGAAAGUAGUCAUUUUUCACAGCUCAUGAAUGUUCUUCACCUCUGAAAACAGUUUGUUCUAAUUUUAAAUACUGACAUGAACACUUGAAUGUAGAAAAUGUCUCGUGUUUAUGUAUCUGAAAUUCAGAAGUCUGGAGUGGCCUGAUCUUUGUGUUGAACCCUUUCCCUCUCCCCCAGACAGAGUGCCAGAGCCUGCCUUGGUUCUCUCCACCUCUCUUUGAAUUCUUGGAAACAAUCAGAUUUCUUCUGCCGACGGUGGCAGGUACCGCCACCCAACGUGGAUGUCAUCUUUGGCAGGGGGGGACUUGUAGCUUUAUUUUUCAGGCUUUUUCCACUUUAAAGUUUGUAGAGGUUUUCUGCUUUUGCUGCCCUGGUGGCGUGCUUGUCUGUUAAACCAGAUCCCCAUUUUACUUGGCUUCAGUGUUGGUUGCAAUUUCUGUUGGUCAUGGUUGGGAUCACCUAUCAACUCCUGUAGGUCAGGAGUUUUCUGUGUGCUGGGUAAUAUUGCUUGUGACUCUGAGCUUGUCCAGAUGCUCUUCAUUUAUGCAGAUAUCCUCUGGGUUUUAAGAUUUAUGCUUUAGUGUGAAACAGAGGAUAUCCUCAGAGUUGUGAUAGCAUGUCUCGUUUCCUGUCUGUUCUGGGAAAUACUUUUUUUAAUACUUUUUUUUUUUCAUAGAACUUAUAGCAAUAACAAAAGCAGGCAACAAAAGAAUACAGGAACAAAAAUACAUUCAUGAUGCAUAUGAAUUCCAGUGUAUGUAGGUAACUUGAAAAUGAACAAAGAAUCUUCUGCCUGAACUAAUGAUAAAUCAAAGUAAAGAAAUGCCAAAUGGUCAAAAAACAACCCCCAGGCAUAAUGAAGCUGAAGGAAAAUAAAAAGUAGCAGUACACAUACACAUUCUUGUCAACGUUUCUUACCUGAUGAUAGUGCUGCAUGUUCACAUCUUGAAUGAGUCAGACUUUUAACUUUGCCUAUGAUGUAGAUCUGGAAUAUUGCAGCCUUUUAUAGGCUUCAGUAUGUAAAGUAAAAUGUCUUGUUUUGAAAGCAGUGUUAUCUACACAGUUACUUUUAGCCCAGCUUGCUAGGGCUAAAAAUUCUGUUCUUGUUGUUGUUGGAUUCUUUGUAUUUCCAAGAGGCAAUGUAGGGCUGCUUCAGGUUGGAUUUAGCAUUUGGAUGACUGCAGGUAUUUCUGAGUUAUGCCUGACUACUUACUGAUAUUCAUGCCAAAAGCAUGCCCCUUCUUAAUUCUUAGUUUAAUUGAAAUCUUUAAUAGAACUAUCUGAAUGGACAUAUAUUUACUAAUUUAUUAAACAGUAGCCUUGCUGAAAUAAUAAAACAAAGACAGUUGUGACACUUGCAUAUUAAAUUUUUGUUUUGUCUCAGU